GUGCUCACUUUGGCAGCACACACACUAAAAUUGGAAUGAUACAGAGAUUAGCAUGGCCCCUGUGCAAGGAUGACAUGCAAAUUUGUAAAGCAUUCCAUCUUUAA
rnacentral:snRNA from 1 species